CCUACGGGAGGCAGCAGUGAGGAAUAUUGGUCAAUGGGCGUAAGCCUGAACCAGCCAAGUCGCGUGAGGGAUGAAGGUUCUAUGGAUCGUAAACCUCUUUUAUCAGGGAGUAAAGUGUGGGACGUGUCCUGUUUUGUAUGUACCUUAUGAAUAAGGAUCGGCUAACUCCGUGCCAGCAGCCGCGGUAAUACGGAGGAUCCGAGCGUUAUCCGGAUUUAUUGGGUUUAAAGGGUGCGUAGGCGGCCGUUUAAGUCAGCGGUGAAAGUCUGUGGCUCAACCAUAGAAUUGCCGUUGAAACUGGGGGGCUUGAGUAUGUUUGAGGCAGGCGGAAGGCGUGGUGUAGCGGUGAAAUGCUUAGAUAUCACGCAGAACCCCGAUUGCGAAGGCAGCAUACCAAGCCAUGACUGACGCUGAUGCACGAAAGCGUGGGGAUCAAACAGGAUUAGAUACCCCAGUAGUC
rnacentral:rRNA from 1 species